UGUAUCCAUCACAACCUCACUGGGAGCCGAGGGCAUGAAGAAGGCUAAAUGAAGGACGCCAAGCUCAGCAGCCGAUAAAACAUUUGCUAGGUCACUUUGAUCAUCUUAAGAGUUGUUGGUGGGGGCGGGGUGUGCACCCUGAAAAGAAGGAAGCCGGAGUACCCAGAGAGAAUCCAUGCAGUCACUGGGAGACCAUGCACACCCCACAGCCAGCCUUUGCU